AUUGCUUAUGCUUUGCGUCGGAUACUCGGAUUCCAGCUGGAUCGGCGUGCGCCAAGCGUUCCGCGAAUCGGCCAUUGGCUCGUCCUGCCCACGACCCCGGAGCCCAAACGUUCAGAGUUCAGACGCACAAACGCCGGGAGCCACCGCAAUGCCCGCCACACGUCGGCCGCCGCCGAGUUGGAGUACUGCGAGUUGUGCCGCCAUCACCACGACCAUGGUCGGCGCCAUCGCUACAUCAUGAAGCACAUGUGAAAUCUCAACGACGCGCUCACCUCCUUCUGCUCCAAUCUCUCCGACCUCCGCUGUGCCUUCCUCCAUGGCUCCCCCUCUUCCCAGCCGCCGCGGGCCCGUCAUUGGUGUCCCUUCUGCUCCACUGACAUCGUCGACCUCGACAGCCGCUCCGCUGGUAACAAUGCCAUUUACCAUAUGGCAAGCAGUCAGCACCUGAAGGGUGUGAAUAAUUUCCUGCAGAAGCAUGGGGGAAGGAUGAGGUGGACUUGCUUAGGAUUUCAGAGGAAGUGCUUGCCAAGUGGGAGAAAGGCUUUGGAUCCUUGAGCACACGAGCGAAGAAUAUCCAAAACGAAUAUACCUGUGACAGUUUGGAUAGUUUUGCACAAAACAAUAUCCCAUCUUUUAGUAAUAAUGCAUCAUACUUUGUUAUGCCUUUACAAAGUCCUACCAAUGUGGCAUAUGACCCUAUUAGUACAGCGUGUCAUCGAGCUUCCAGUUCUGGAAGUGCCCCUUAUUCUUCUCCAUAUGGAGCUUGUGGUCUGCCCAUCACACAUUGGGGAUCGGCCGAAACACAUAAGCAGCAGGGUAUGCUGUCUGCAAACUGGUUUCACAGCAGCGGUCCUGCAACUAAAGGUCAUCAAUCUACCGUCCUUGUAAAUGACACAAGGCAAUUGAUUUCUUGUACUGAUCAUGCUCAAGCAAAUGUACAUACGGGUGCUCCUCCUCGGUUAAAAGCUAACGGACAUGAUCUAAAGAAUUUGUCACUCAGAAGCUGUGGUCUUCCUUCUCGGAAAGGAAAUUUGAGGAAACUCAAUCCAAAGAGGGUUGGUGCUGCAUGGGCAGAAAAAAGAAGAGCUGAGCUUGAAAUGGAGAAGGAAGGUGAAAUUGUUCCAAUAACAUCUGAUUCUAGUUGGCUACCUAAUUUUGGUAGUGUCUGGCAAUCAGGCACAAGGAAGGAAUCAAGGAAAGAAUUCGAGAAAAACCACAAGUUUCAUGACACGAAGAGCAACAUGACUUAUCCUUGGAGAUAAAACCAUAUAUCAGCAAACGGAUGCGCAUAGCCACCUACCACAGUAAACAGAUGUACAACACUUCGCCAGAUGUUGGUAUGGAUCUUAUUACACUCGCCACUCGGUAAAAGAAAGGUUCAGGUUUAGCAAUUACCAGCCACUUUUAAGGCUUGCAUAUUAAUUAAUCGCAAGAUAGAGAUCUAUAUAUGCGAACGUUUGUCAGUAAUAGGCGAACCACAGCUACAGCAAUUUCUGAUUACACACUUCAAUGUCCCCAGCAAUGAAUAUGAUACGGGUGACGGGGGUUGGGGCAAUAGUAGUAGUACUACCUGGGCUAGCUCGCAGGACUCCUGGAGUAAUUGCGCCCCUUGGAUCUGUUUAUUUGUUGAAUCGCCAUGCAGGGCAGAUGUUCCAAACUUUCUACUCACUGUUUGGCACCUGCAGAUGGAUGCUGGCCCAGGGGGCGGCUUGAUUGGCGAUUGGUUCCCUGCCAACUCGUCUAGGAGGCCCGGUUAUAGGCCGCUUGUACCGAAUUUAAAGCCAAUCUUUGACAGCUACGCAGUCAAUAUUUUUUUGUUCUGGUCACGAAGCCGUUUGAUGUUCGUACUGAGAAGCUUGUGCCGGUAUCGGUUGCUGCUUUGUGCGUCGCUUUAAACAAUGUGCAUCAACUGGUAGUUCUGUGUUCUCAUGAUCUCAUCAGAGCAGCCGUAUGCGGUUUGGUCACUGGCAUGACAUAAAAUUGACUUCGUCUCUUUC